GAAGCUUGCAACAAGAAGUGCAUUUAUCUGCCUUUCUAUAACCCUUUUCAAGCACUCUGUCAGGGAGCCCAAACUGAACAGCCAGUUUAGGAGGAACUUGGAACCCGCUCCAGGCCCCCUAGGCCCUCUGGGAAAAGGAAAAUUAUUGUUGGCAAGUCUGCCUGGCUCCAGAAGUUGAUCCAGUGCCCCCCACUUGCCCAUGCAGCAGCAGACAGAGCUAAGAAUUUUGUUAUAAUUAAAUAACAGAGUGCUGAUUGGUUGCUGGAGGUGGUCUUGAAACUGGUGUUUAAGGCAGUGGAGAACAACGGUUACUAUUCAUAGAAAAAGCAGAGUCUUAAAAUCCAUCUGUUUCUUUCCAAAUUUAGGCCAAAAAAAUGCUCACUCACUGUCUUUAAAAAUACCACCUGCUUAGCUAUUUUGUAUAAUGUGCCAUUAUAUAAGUUUGAAGGAGGAGCAGGCAGGGAGGCAGCGGGGGCUGGGAGAGGGGAACAGAUUAAAAAGAUAUAGUUAGAUCCAAAAAUACCCCAGCAGCAUAUUCAAAAGGGAACACAAAAUAAAGGAGCAAAGGAGAGGUUUUCUGAGGAAGAUUAAAACUGGAGUGUUUACUAACGCCUGGGAACCAGCUACUACAAAUGAGCUUGUUUGCAAGGCCAUGGAAACACCUCGAGCCCUUCUUACCCUGCAGACUUUUCCAGGGACAUCGCAGCCUGCCCAGCCAGAACUCCAGCCAGCAAGGACCUCCUGAAUGGCACCGUGCUUCUCGGGGAACAUGUCACCCCAACACUCUCCAUGUCUCCUAAUCUUCUUGGCCUGCCAGCUGGGCAGGAGAGCGCAGAUGCUGGUCCAGAAGUAGACGUGUGAUAAUUAGCCAUCUGGACGCUGCCAGAGAGAAUGGAUAACAGCUGAGCUCUCCCUGCCUGUUCUUCAGCAGUGGAUCUGGAAAGCCUCUCUUCUCAGUGCCGGCAGAGAUUUCCCUGGAACUCACAGGGACUUUAUCAUCUCCCAGAGUUUGACUGCUUCUGUCAAAUCUGGUUCAAAAUGCCAGAGGAUUCAAGAGUUACCAGGCGAGGGUCAAACAGAUGGACAGACAGCAUGACUUCAUGAUCUCCACCACCUUAGAGGUCCAGGCUAGCACCUCCGAUUAAUUAAAUGCAACUCCAACCUCAGAAAAAGCACAACUCCUCAAACAUGGGUGCAAGCGAUUAGUCGAUAUUUUAAAUUGAUCCCUGGAGAAAAUCAGUUCAGUGGCUGGCAGAGUCCUGCCCUCUGAGAGUCAUAAAAUGGGCUGGUGACAUUAUUAACAAUGACGGGCUGCUGGGAUGGAUUCAGUUGUAGCUGGUCUGCCUUAGAAGUCUCAAGAUGUUUUCCAAGAACAUCUAAAAAUGAAUGCCAAAAUACCUGUCCACCCUUUUCAUUAUCCAGCAAUUGCUACAAUCGCUGUGCAUGUUGGCAUAUUCAAGGCUCCGAGAGUUUUCUCCUUCCUACCACAGACCAUGGAAGCUCUCAGCGUUUGUCGAGUUCUGAGUCUGCUCUUCAGCUGCAGCGUCUCCCAACACAGCAUCCAAAGUCUUUAUGCAGACUCUUAGGUGGUAAAGCAUCCCUAGGUGUAUGCAGGACACAGCUGUCUGGUGCUGUCACGUGCAUUCAUUUUUGUUAUUGCUUGCUUUCGUGAUUGUUGCAAUGGCCCAUGCAGCUAUUUUACUGUGAAUUCUCCUUACAUCUUUUUUCCGCCUAAUGAAAUGAAUAGGUCUCUGUAGAUUGCUCUUUUUUUCCCUUUCCUUUUUUUUUUUUCUUUCUUUCUUUCCUUUAAGCAAAGCUUAAAACCAUGUGGCACUGGUUUAUUGAGUCAGCAAUUGCUCAAACUUUUUAAAAUUCCAUGCACUAAGUGAAAAAUGAGAUUUACAAAGCUAAUGGAAAAUAAAUGUCUCCCAAACAUGAAAUACAUUGACUUGCUUCCUUGCCUUAUCCCAUAAAAACAGAUGGAAGCAAUAGCUCCAGUGAAUUACCUACUGUACGCAGGGCCCCAUGCUGUCCUGUGGCAGCUCGUGCAAGGACAGAGAGUGCCAGCUUGCCACUGAGCUGCUCUGGAGGCUGCUGGGGGUCUGGGGGCAGCGGGGUGAUGGGGCCAUGUCCCUGCAGCCAGCCCUGGCCCCACUCUGUCCCAGGAGCCCUAACCCAGCUUGGGUGCAGGGGAAUUUGGAGGCAAUUCUGGAGGCAUACGGCCCUCGAGGGACACAGCCAAGGCACAACCUGCUGGAAACCCAACUGGUUCCUUUCCCAAGAACAUGCACUUGUUUUCCACACACAAGGGCUCCCAGCGUGAGUUACCCACCAACCCACGAGCUCUGCUCAGUGCAUCUUUCGACCAAGUGCCUCUCGCUGCACGUGCAGACGGAAAACCGAUUUGUCCAGGAACGAUGUUUUUGGUUUCUGCUUUCCAAAGGCUAGCUAAUAAAGCAGUGAGCAAAGAACACACCGUUUUGCUGAACACAUGAAUCAUACCUUGAUGGUGUCUCCUUUGAAUCCUGGUAUUCAAAGAUCUCCCUGGAGCGCUAUGUUUUACGUUAGAAGAGAGCAGUUAUCCCCAGCAGAGACACAGCACAUGUGUCUGGCUGAUGGAUGGCCAUGUUCUAGGGAGAGUCAAAACGUUUAGGAGAAGAAAAAAAAUAUUCCCCAGAAACCUUAAGUAGUGGGAGAGUAAUUUGAGCAUCGUGUUCAAUUUCCUGGCUACCAAGAACAGCAAGAUUUAGCAUCCUCCUCAUUUCCGAAUGUACGAGGGCUUUCCAGCGACAUCCUUUACCUCAUGGCAGCCCCGUUGCCCCUGCACCGCGUGUGAGCCCUGAGCGGCGGGCGGGGGGGACC